CAGCUCCUCUAUCUCUCUCUAUGAUCUCUCUCUCUCUCUCUACCUUCUCCCUCUACACUCCUCCUCAUCAUCAGCAUCCAUGGCUGCCACCGGCCAUCCCAGCACUGGCAAGCCUCCUUUCCCCCUUUUCUCCUCUUUCUCUCUCUCCAUCAACCACCACGAGCAGCCCCCCCCCCCCAACUAUGAUCAACGUCCCUCCGUUCUUAUGAAAUCCAUGCGCCACCCCCAGAUAUACCAUGAGCCACCGACGAACAACGACAGUCUGAUCUCCAUCUUUCUCACUGCUAGUCAGCGACCAGAGCACGCCGCCGCCCUGUUCUCUGCAUCUCUACCAUCGGUCAGCCUCAAAACCCUUCUCCUAUCACCACUUCACGACCAUGCAGUCACGAGUUUAUACCAUUUUGCCUCACCGGAGGUCAUGACCGGUGAGGUAUCGAUUGGUAACCCCUCCGACUAUGUUUGAUCGAUAGACACCAUCACAGGUCGGGAUUAUUUGAAGAGUCGCCGGAACGUUAAACAUAAUACGUUAUUCCUUACACCUGCCGUUUUUCCUUUCUUAUUUUUGUAUCAUUUGAUUUGUAACAUUAUUGUAAAGACAUUAUUAUUGUAAUAAUAAAAUUUGGGACUGCUUUGGGGGAUGGGAAUUUACGUGCUCUAUGAAUAGUAUUGAUAGGCACAAUUUAGGUUUUACUUAUGUUACAUGGUACGUGGAUAAUUCCUGGACUAAUAACAUAAUUUUUAAGCAUGUUAAAAUAUCAAAUUUUAAGCAUUUCAACAAGUUAAUUUGUAGAUCAAGAAUGUCAUUUUUUUUGACAUAUCAAGGCAAUUUCAACUUGUUAGCAUGAAAUUUCUGCACUGUUUGCAUAAUUUUCAGCAUGUUAAAAUGUUAGAUUUUAGGCAUUCUUAACAUGUUAAACACUAGAUUUAAAUACACCACUGUGUCCCUUAACAUGUUAAUGUGCUUUCCACAUUUUUCUAGUUUCUUAUACUCUCAUUAUUUUUAUGACACUUGCACAAUAAAUUCGUGAGCACAAUUCCUUGACACAUUUACCACACACUUGACACCCUCUUUUAACAAUUUGAACACGAAUCACAGUUACAUUUUGUCACGCUAUCACUUGUUGAACACUUAGAUAUCAUGCCCACAGGUUAAUGACACAAAAUAAGUAAUUAUUUGUCUUUGCAUGUUCAUCACAUUAAUCAUCUUUAAUAACCACGGGGCUAAUGUGAGACAUUACUUGCUACUUGAUGUUCAAUGUGUUACGCGUCUCGAGUCUUAGGCAACAUAGCUUUAUUUUGUCUAGACCAUAAAACCAAUAUAGCAAAGUCCAAUGCCUCUUGGGCUAUAGGCGGGACGAUAUGUAUUACUAAAUACGCUAGUUUUAUCCUUGUCUUAGAACGCCUUUAGAGUUAACAACCAAUCUAGGUGGAUGGGACAGGUAGUCAUUUGAACGUGAUGAUCUCCAACCGACAUUAAAGGUAAGACAUAUGACUUGUCUAAGAGUUCGGCCAGUGGGUCAACUGAUGAUUAAACAAGUUGGGGUUCUGAUCCGAAUGAAAUCAAAAACAUUUCUUUAUUUAAUUUGAUGAAUUUUGUUUAUUCUUUUAUUUACUUUACAUGAUUAUUUAUCUGGGGUAGUUAGUUUAUUAUAUAAGCAGUCCCCUUUGUUGUAAAGUAUGUCAUUUCUUUCUCCUUGCUUGUCUCAUCACAUGUUUUUAGUAAUUUUAUCACUUAGAUAAUUAAUAAUUAGAAGCAAUAAAAAUAGUGUGUUUGUUUAUUAAUUGUUUUAUCACUUAGUUAAACAUUAAAUUAAUAAUAAAACAAGAGACCUUAUUUGAUCACAUAGAAACCCCAUGUAAAGUACGAAUUCGGCUGGGAACCACUUUGUAGACCUCGAAAGGUGCCUAACACCUUUCUUUCAAGGUAAUUUGAACCCUUACUCGAAUCUUUGGUGAACUAAGAUAAAACAACAAAAUAGGUUCGUAGUAGCCUAGACCGGUGCCCUAACGCACCUUAAUUCGUUAGGUGGCAACUCUUCACACUUCUUUUCAAAAUAAUUUUAAAAAGAGUGGUCACGUAGAAUCUCGCUUUCCGCGAGAAAAAUGAGGCGCGACAUUGACCAGUGAGCUAGAGGAGAUGUCUGCUCACUUGGCGCAAAAGGAUACAAAACUUGCUACUCUAAAGGAAACUCACUUAAUGGGGCAAGAGAAGGGACUAGGUAGAAGUAAGAGUCUACAAUCUGUAAUGAAAUGCUAAGGUCUAAGAUUCAGAAUUUGGAAGCCAAAGUUGAGGACUUGACUAAACAACCUUUGAAGAACCAUGCCGCUGAAAAUGAACAAAUAACUCUCUUUCUUCGCUAAUUUUUUGGUCCUUUUUCUGAUCCUUCUACCUGAUGUCUAUCCAACCUGGUCCCAACCAUGUCUUGUAGUCUUAAGCCCCUUCUUUUAAGCCCUAUCUUUUAGUUGUUAUCGUGGUAUUUAUCUUGUACUUAGUUCUUGAUGCCAUUUUCUAGACAUUAUAUGAUGCUGGCCUUUAUGAUUAAUGAAUAUUUUGUGUGUUGAUGUUAUCAUCUUUCCUUUUUUAUAUGAUUUUACUUAUUUAUGUUAGUGUAGCAUCAAUGUCUAGAAGUUAACAUGUGUGCUUAUCUUUUGCGUGGUUUACUGUUUAACUCUUUAAUGAUGUCAAAAUAGGGAAGAUAAGGUAUAUAUAUGUGUAAGUAGUUUAGGGACCAGGUUCUUAUCGGCAGGGGGGAAGUGCUUUAUUCUUAUUUUAUCUUUGUUUAGCAGGUAUCAGUGACAGGAGGAAAAGACUUGUAGUGAAUCUUGUGAUAAGAUGAGUAUGGUUUGUAAUCAUCAAAAGGGGGGAAAUUGUUAGUUUUCUAGUUUUGAUGAUUGACAAACCAACCUUGGGACCUGGUUCAGUAGAGCUAUGCAUAGCCUUUUGAUUAUAAAAAUUGCAACCACUUAGACACCAGGUUCAUCUGGACUAUGCCUUUCUGCGCUAAGUCAGCAAUCUAGCUGGAAAUAGUACCGGGUGGCAGAAAGUUGGUGGCAAAGCUGUAACACCUUUUUUCUUCAUCCAAUCAAAAGAAUCGCAGGCUUUCUUUUCUUAUAUAUAUGCAACAUGUUACAACAAGAAAACCUAAGCUUCCAUAUACAAAGAACAUUAAAUCUCUCUUGAAGUAAAUAUUUAAACCAAAGCCUCACUUGCAACAGGGACCCGCUCAAUGGUUACGUUUAUCUUAAGCUCAUGUUGUACUUCAGUCCUUGUUUAGUGAUUUGUCAUUGUUACGUACUGCUCUAGUCAAUAAAUUGUAGGUUUCCUCAUUCUUUAUUGUUUUCAUGCGUGUUGAGUCCGCCAUAGUUAGUUAACAUUGAGGCUAGAGUUAGGAUGUUAUUGAUUCAGUUAGAUUUAGUUGGUUUAAUAGUGCAACAGAGUUAUUACUUUAGAGUAUUGCAAUAGAGCUAUUGCAAGUUGUUGAAGUUUCAGAGGUUAAUCCUUUAACCAUAGAGUAUGUAUUUGAGUUUUCUUGAAGAUAGUAAAGUGGUUGAAAAUCCUACAUGGUAGGUCAUGGUUUUACUCCCUUGAGCAAGGAGGUUUCCACGUAAAUAUUGUGUGUGCAUUGUUUGUUUUUGUUGCAUUUUUUUUAUCUAAUCUUGUUCAUUACUGCAUACAUUAGUUAGGGACCAGGUCCCUAAGUUGGUGGGAUAGUCGUACAGCUUUUCAAGGGUAAAUAUGUUAAGUUUAGUAAUGAGAAGAGCAUAUUUGAUCCUAUAGUAAAAUGACAAGGGCAUAUUUUGCUCCAUAAUAUAACUAGGAGUAAAUUAAACCAAUUAAGUAGAGAAGUAUUUUUUUUACCCUUUUACCUUUUUAAAAUUCUACUUUUAACUAAUAAGAAUAAUAUAUAUUAACAAAUACACUAAUUUUAAGAAAAAGAAAAAAAGAAAUUGGGUCCAAGAUCAAGCUCGAGAUCAGGUCUCGAGUCUAGGUCAUGUUUAUGAACAAGGUUGUAUUUGAGGGUCGAGUCCUAAGUUGGAAUUGAGGGUCAUUUUUCAAAUCUUGCUUCAAGGUCGAGUUGAGUUUUGUUUUUCAAGUCAAGUAUCGAGUCUUAAUUCUAAUUGAGGUUCGAGUUGAAAUUUGGAGAUAGGUAGAGGGUCGGGCCUCAAAUUGUGAUUGGGGUCAAGUAUCGGGUCAAGGUCAACAAUCAGAUCUUGAGUUAGACCAGGGUGAGAUCGAGAGUUCGAUUCUGAGUUAAAGUUAGGGCCAGAAUUAAAACUUGGGUUGUAUCGGGGUCGAAUCUCGAAUCUAGGUCGAGCUGAGGUUUGAACUUUGUGUUCAUUUUAUGUCAGGGAUCGAGUCCUAGGUUGGGGUAGGGAUUGGAUACUUAGUUGUUAUUGGGUAGGGAUUAAGUCACUAGUUGGGUCGGGAGUCAAGACCCAAAUCGAUGUAGGGUCAAGUCACUAGUUAAGGUUGGAGUCGAGGGUCGAAUCUUGAGAUGGGGAGAGUCAAGGUUAGGGUACCUAAAUGAGCCUUAGUCCUGAAACAAAAAUGAAAUCGAGUUUCAAGUUGGGUUAAAGAGUUGGUAUCGAAUUUCAAGUCGAGCA